CUUGGUCAUUUAGAGGAAGUAAAAGUCGUAACAAGGUUUCCGUAGGUGAACCUGCGGAAGGAUCAUUCAUAAUAAGUGUUUUAUGGCACUUUUUAAAUCCAUAUCCACCUUGUGUGCAAUGUCAGUCGAUCUUCUUCAUGGAGAUCGGCCAAACAUCAACCUUAUUUUUUAACUCUUUGUCUGAAAAAUAUUAUGAAUAAACAAUUCAAAAUACAACUUUCAACAACGGAUCUCUUGGCUCUCGCAUCGAUGAAGAACGCAGCGAAAUGCGAUACGUAAUGUGAAUUGCAGAAUUCAGUGAAUCAUCGAAUCUUUGAACGCAUAUUGCGCUCUUUGGUAUUCCGAAGAGCAUGCUUGUUUGAGUAUCAGUAAACACCUCAAAGCUUUUGGAUUUUUUUUGAAAGCUUUGGACUUGAGCAAUCCCAACGCCAAUCUUUUUCAGAUCGGCGGCGGGUUGCUUGAAAUGCAGGUGCAGCUGGACUUUCUCCUGAGCUAAAGGCAUAUUCAUUUAGUCCCGUCAAACGGAUUAUUACUUUUGCUGCAGCUAACAUAAAGGGAGUUUGACCGUAUUGGCUGACUGAUGCAGGAUUUUACAAGGGUCGGCAACGAUUCUUGUUAAACUCGAUCUCAAAUCAAGUAAGACUACCCGCUGAACUUAAGCAUAUCAAUAAGCGGAGGA
rnacentral:rRNA from 1 species